GCACCUACGGGGCGCAGCAGUGGGGGAUAUUGCACAAUGGGGGGAACCCUGAUGCAGCGACGCCGCGUGGGUGAAGGAGUGCUUCGGCAUGUAAAGCCCUAUCGGCAGGGAAGAAGCAAGACGGUACCUGACUAAGAAGCCCCGGCUAACUACGUGCCAGCAGCCGCGGUAAUACGUAGGUGGCGAGCGUUAUCCGGAAUGAUUGGGCGUAAAGGGUGCGUAGGCGGCCUGCUAAGUCUGGAGUGAAAGGUACCGGCUCAACCGGUACAGGCUCUGGAAACUGGCGGG
rnacentral:rRNA from 1 species